ACUUGGCUGGCUCAGUUGGUGGAGCAUGUGACUCUUGAUCUCGGUGUCAUGAGUUCAAGCCCCAUGUUAGGUG
rnacentral:tRNA from 1 species